rnacentral:rRNA from 1 species
GACGUAGGGCGCGAGCGUUGUCCGGAUUUAUUGGGCGUAAAGAGCUCGUAGGCGGCUUGUCGCGUCGACUGUGAAAACCCGCGGCUCAACUGCGGGCCUGCAGCCGAUACGGGCAGGCUAGAGUUCGGUAGGGGAGACUGGAAUUCCUGGUGUAGCGGUGAAAUGCGCAGAUAUCAGGAGGAACACCGGUGGCGAAGGCGGAUCUCUGGGCCUUGCCUGACGCUGGAGGCGCGAAAGCUAGGGGAGCGAACAGG